UCCAUCAUGUCCCGCAUAAUAAAAUAUACUGUUAAUAGUAUUGAUAAUUGGUGAAAUGUAGGAAUUUUAACAUUAUAGUGGAAUUUGUCCGAUACUACAAAAACUCAAUUAUGUGAAGAAUGGAAAAAAUGAAAACAAAACCACUCAUUUGUAAUUGAUACCAUCUGGAUAUCAGAUUAAUUUUCUUACCUCGAGACUGCUAAAAUGUUACCAACAUCGUUAUUGAACCAAAUGUUGCGCUUCAAUCGGACC